GAAAACUCCGGUGGUAUGCGAUGGGUCCGCGUCUGAUUAGGCAGUUGGCGGGGUAACGGCCCACCAAACCGACGAUCAGUAGCCGGCCUGAGAGGGCGGACGGCCACACUGGGACUGAGACACGGCCCAGACUCCUGCGGGAGGCAGCAGUGGGGAAUAUUGCACAAUGGGGGAAACCCUGAUGCAGCGACGCCGCGUGAAGGAAGAAGUAUCUCGGUAUGUAAACUUCUAUCAGCAGGGAAGAAAACAGACGGUACCUGACUAAGAAGCCCCGGCUAACUACGUGCCAGCAGCCGCGGUAAUACGUAGGGGGCAAGCGUUAUCCGGAUUUACUGGGUGUAAAGGGGGCGCAGACGGCAUGGCAAGCCCGGUGUGAAAGGCAGGGGCAUAACCCCUGGACUGCACUGGGAACUGUCAGGCUGGAGUGCCGGAGGGGUAAGCGGAAUUCCUGGUGUAGCGGUGAAAUGCGUAGAUAUCAGGAGGAACACCGGCGGCGAAGGCGGCUUACUGGACGGCAACUGACGUUGAGGCCCGAAAGCGUGGGGAGCGAACAGGAUUAGAUACCCUGGUAGUCCACGCCGUAAACGAU
rnacentral:rRNA from 1 species